UGCACCACGGUUCUGCCUCGCGCCUGCGCUCCCCCUCGCGCCCUUGCUGAUGUGUACCUUCCAUCAACACGGUGUUCCUGUCGCGCAAUCCCACGAAAUCCUCCGUCGACGCCCCGCCAUCAUCGCCCCCUGCGCCGUCCUCAUGCCCCCGCCCCCGACCUCGCGCACCUUCCUUCGGCUCCACCACCACCCCUGGCACGCCCUGCCUCUGUGACUCCCGCGCCCCGCCCGGAGAGGAAGAAGAGAUCCGGAGACGAGCGUCGAGGCCGGCGCCACCCGACCCGUCCCGUCGAUCCCCAUCAGUAUUGCCUCCGUGACCGCCUCGCGCACCUCUCCGCCUCCUACUCGACGACCACCAGCGCAGGCUGUUCAAAGCGGCAACUAGAGGCGCCCUAGAUCACACCACAGUCGCGGAUAGAGAAGGAAAAUUACCCCCAAACCCUAGCUUCGGAUCUCGAUGGCGAACCCCCGUGUCUUCUCCGACAUGACCGUCGGCAGUGCCCCGGCCGACCGGAUCGUGAUGGAGCUGUACGCCAACGUGGUGCCCAAGACCGCGGAGAACUUCUGCGCGCUGUGCACGAGCUGGAGGCGCUCUGCACGACGUGCUUCCAGGUCGGGCGGUCAUGGGCGAUGGUGCCGACGAAGAGGAAGCGCUCAACAGGUGCCGCCGUGGUCGCGACAGUCGUCAAGUGGAAGGUGGGCGACCUCGUGCUUACCAAGAUGAAGAGCUUCCCGGCCUGGCUGGCUAUGGUACUUUGGUUUGUCAACAACUCGAGUAACGAACAAGUCAACAAAUGGAGAAGGGUGUGACAUGAAGUAAUUAUUUACUUUAGAAUCCCUUCAGUGACCAUUCCUUAGAUAAUUCUUUUUCAUUGUGAUGCGUGUCACCUUGACAUAUGUGUGGCUUGUUGUAAAGAAAUCACAAUUCCCCAACAUCACACCUGAAUUCAUCAUUGAAUCUUCAUUCCACAUCUGGAGGAACAAUUUCACAGAAAGCAAACAAAGACAACGACGACGACUUCAGCCCUUGAGGAUCUUCCAUGCCUGCAAGGACAUGAGGAGCUUGAUGGAGCCAGCUUACGGGAACAUGAAGAAUUCACAAUGGUGAAAAAAUAUCACAAAGGUUAAACUGGGGAGAUAUGAGAUAGAUACAUCAUACAUGGUAUUUCUCUCCUUUUCCACUAGAUUAUAAUUUCCUUCCAAAACUAUUUUUUGUGAAUUUUUCCUCAGCUUCAUGAAGCGCAAAGAAUUAGCUUCAGAGGCACAUGGUGAGCUAUACUUGUUUGUGCUUUAUACCUUGCCUAUUUGUUAGAUACAUGCUACUAACAUGAGAUUAAAAACUGGUUUAUUUAGCUCGAUUCUUAUUUGUCUAAACUCAUCUAUCAUCAAUUUCUAUUUAGUUUUAACCUAGGUGCUAGACUGGACACUCAGAGACAAUGAAGCAGAAACUAGAGUAUCAAGACAGUAACCUCGGUGCUAAGAGGCACACAUACUCGUUGCAUUACAUCGUCUACGACAAAUCCCAGGUGGGUGUAGAGUUUUGGCGAGUAUAGGUGGGUGAUGUGUUUCCGACGACAACGAGGCGGAGGCCAUCUGCUACUGCAACCACCAACUACAUGAAGCAAAACAGCUCAUCAGUAGAUUUGCAGCCCCAUUGCCUUAUGGUGGAAUGAACUCUGGUUCGCUCUCUCAUGUGUCGAUAGGUCAAGGCGAACCAGUUGCCGGUGGCCAACAUGAUCGGGUACCUAGAAGCGAAGAACCACCUGCUCCUUGGCUAUUGCCAGGACAUCGUCUACUACCUCCUCCGCAAGGCCAAGGGGCUCUCGGUGGAUGGCCACCCCAUCGCCUGUUUGCUGGAGCUACUGCUGCAACCUUCUGUGAGCUCAUUGCCUUAUGUCGAUUGAUGGUGAAAUGGAAAAGAGUACAAUAUAAUUUUACCUUAUUCUAUUGUUAGCUUAAGGAGAUAUAACAAAUGGUUCCUAAAAAGACCAACAAGGCAUCCAUGCUUGAUGAGGCCAUUUUGUAUCUGAAGCAAUUGCAGCUCCAAGUAUAGCUAAUAUUUAUCAUAUGAUUUGAGGACAAAUAAUCUGCUGGUGCUAAUUAUAAACUUAAAUUAUGUGAUUUUGGAUUGGCAAGAGUGGCAUUCAAUGACACUCCUACAACAGUAUUCUGGAUGAUAUUAUUCACAUAUUUGAGCUGGUUUUCUACUCUAUGGAUUUUUGAAUUUGAUAAAAGGUGUGGGGAUUAACUAUAGUAGUGAUUGGCUAGGUACUGACUUUUUAGCAAUUUAGGAAAUUCAGUUGUUGUAAUUUUUUUGCUAGACAAGUGGUAUUAUUUGUGUUAUUACAACAUCUUUAUUGGAAUCUAUAUGAAAAUGUUCUUAUGCCUUGUUGGGAAAUAGACAUGUCAUCGGCUACUUCAUAUUGUGAAUGCUCAGUCUAGGAUGUUGCUGCAACUGCUUGUGUAUUUUUUUCUAUAAUAUUAAUGUUUGUCGUUC